rnacentral:rRNA from 1 species
CCUACGGGAGGCAGCAGUGAGGAAUAUUGGUCAAUGGGCGCGAGCCUGAACCAGCCAAGUAGCGUGAAGGAUGACUGCCCUACGGGUUGUAAACUUCUUUUAUAAAGGAAUAAAGUGAGGCAUGUGUGCCUUUUUGUAUGUACUUUAUGAAUAAGGAUCGGCUAACUCCGUGCCAGAAGCCGCGGUAAUACGGAGGAUCCGAGCGUUAUGCGGAUUUAUUGGGUUUAAAGGGAGCGUAGAUGGGUUGUUAAGUCAGGUGUGAAAGUUUUCGGCUCAACCGUAAAAUUGCAUUUGAUACUGGCAGUCGUGAGUACAGUUGAGGUAGGGGGAAUUCGUGGUGUAGCGGUGAAAUGCGUAGAUAUGACGAAGAACUCCGAUUGCGAAGGCAGCUUACUAAACUGCCACUGACAUUGAUGCGCGAAAGUGUGGGGAUCAAACAGGAUGAGAUACCCCAGUAGUC